rnacentral:lncRNA from 1 species
UUUUGUUUUAGUUGAGAUAAAAGUAGGUUUCUAACAGAGUUGCUUUUUUCGGCCAUGUAAAAUGUGCCCUUGGCAAGGCGAUGUUCCUUUGGCGGCCUUGGCAAACGCCGAGGUUUGUUGGAAAAAACAAACCCGGCAGAUGGUGCAAUGGACUCAGAUCUUGCAGUCGAGCGUGGAGAAGCGGAGGAGCAGCCACCGUCAGGAACAGGAGACCUGUCCCUGUCGCACAUCGAGUGGCUCCUGAAUGGCUUGAAGAGCUCCAGGUGGGCUGAGCGAGACGCAGGGCAAGGGCAGCUGGCACCCGCAGCCAGACAGUCUAGGCUGCCUCCCAGCCCACCCGGACCAGCUGUGCACCUGCGGGCGUGCCCAGCCUCAGCAUCUGUACACGGGAACCAUAACGGUGAGAAGAGCUCAGUGAGCAAACACCAAGGACCCAGCCCAGUGCUGGAAACAUGUCCUCUAAGACAUUACUGCCCUCCUCCACACAGCUCAACUCUCCCACCCCCUACACACGCACCUGCACACACCCCUCAAUACAGAGGAGGUUUGGGUGCCUUGGGAGAAGGCAACGUGGCAAUAAAAGCUGUUCGUGGGGACAUCUCAGCUCAGGGUCAUCUGACUCCCGCACAGGAACCCAUGGGGAGGUGCCGCAUCCCUCAGGGUCUUCAUCACUAGAGCUCAAGUGAAGACUAGGGGGGAGCCUUGACUGGCUGGAAAACAUGACUAUAGGUCUGGCUGUCUUUCCUUAAAGCCCGUUGCUCCAUGGGUGCCAGCAAAGAUGGUGGAGAGUGAGCUCACCCACUGGAGCCGCCAAAGGACACCAAUGAGCAAGGACUGGGCAGGUCUGCUUCCAAGUGAGGCGAAGCUGCCUGGUGCUCCGUCAGCAUGGACAAGCAACCCCAGGUUCAAUGUCCUGUGGCCUUCCCAUGUGGACCACAAUGCCAAGAAGAGCUGCUCCCUCAGAGAGCCAGAACAGAAGUCCAUCAGGCAAAAUGGGCUGCUUCCUGCCCUGCAACACAGAGGGGAGGCUGCUGGUAGCUUUUAUCACGGGGACCUGAAGAAAGCCCGUGGACCUGGUCUUCCUAAAUCUGCCCCCUGUAAUACCAUGGGUGGUCGGUGGAUUCGACUCCUGUACCCUUUGGCCAUGUUCUGUCUGCAAGAAGGUGAAAC